UUGAUGGACUUUGAGCUGUCAGCUGCAGCGAGAAGGCGCCGCUCUCGAAGCUAAUGCACCGCGAUCGCUUGUCUUUGGGGCUAAUUUCAUUCAAGUAAAUGUCGGUCCUUCCGCAAGACGAAUUGAUCAAGAUGUGGGAAAGUGAGCAGGAGAAUCUGAAGCAGCAGGUGCUGGAGCGCGACACAGAGGAGUGGCAGCGGGCGAGCGGCUUCAAGGGGCUGCAGAGAGUCGGCGGCGUGGAUCUGUCCUUCAUCAAGGGAGACGACGUCAAGGCCUGCGCCCAGCUGACGGUGCUGAGCUACCCGCAGCUGGAGGUGCUGUACGCCGACAGUCAGAUGGUAACCCUCAGCACUCCUUACAUCGCCGGCUUCCUGGCCUUCCGCGAGACGCCGCACCUGCUGGAAGCCUUACGGCGCCUGGAGAGGGACAAGCCGAGUCUGAUGCCCCAGGUCGUUUUUGUGGACGGAAAUGGAUUGUUUCAUUACAGAGAAUUCGGAUUGGCCUGCCACCUCGGGGUGCUGGCCGACCUGCCCUGCGUGGGCGUGGCCAAGAACCUGCUGCACGUCCAGGGGGUGGUGAGGAGUGGAGAGCACCUGUCCCAGAUCAGUACCCUUCAGAAGGCCGGGGACACCUUCCCACUGACGGCCGCCUCAGGGAGAGUGCUGGGCAAGGCCCUGCGCAGCUCAGAUAAGAGCACUAAACCCGUGUACGUCUCCGUGGGCCACCGAAUCAGCCUCGACACAGCCGUGCGGCUCACCAGCGCCUGCAGCCGGUACAGAGUGCCGGAGCCCAUCAGGCAGGCUGACAUGCGCUCCAGGGAGUACCUGCGCACACACUUCCCAUCUCAGGGCACCUGAAGGCAGACGAAGCCGUCUGGGUGAAAAGCCCCCCCUGCCCCCCAGCCUGAAGCCAGUGUGGUGAUAUCUGGAAGCAGUUUGUCCCACAGCAUGCAUGGAAGCUGAAGUUGGGGGGCUCCACCAACUAGGCUGCAACGCAAGGUGUCGGCCCAUUGGACCAGAGAGGAGCAGCAGGCGUUAGUGAGCACAAGCCCUCCUUAUGCAUUUUCUCAUGUACUAGGUGUUCUUCGGGUAUUUAUUUAAUUUUUUUGCAUUUUUCACACUUUCCUAUGGCCUCCUUGUAGUUCCGUAAAGAACGGUCCGUCUGUGGAGGCUUGAAAAAUAAAGAGCGCUGGCUUCAUUUUUCACUUGGCUUGAAGUCUGCAAGACAGCGGUGUGCUGAACACCUCAGUGAUAGCAGGAGCAAUUGCCAAGACAGGAGGAAGGUGAAUGGGGAGCAUCGGAGGGAGAGUGAUGAUUCAGAGUAAAAAAGUAAGAGGGCGGACAAAGAGGGAUGUAAAAGAUCACAAGGUCAGAAAGAAGGGAAAAAGGACCAGACCGCCAAUGAGAAGCAAGCAUUUGAUUAAAUGAUUGGAGGAAUGGGGUGUCUAUAUUUUUUGGUGGGGGGGGGGUCACCAAGGAUGCACUUACAUUGUCUUUGUUGUUGUCAUCUCAGACUGCAGUGCUUAAUGAAAAGACAUUAAGCCAUAAUGUACAAGGAGCUAAAUUUGUAACCGAAAGAAGAUGUGCAGCAUUAGAGCAGAAGACAUGUUGCAGGGCCUGAGGGAGUCUGUGGCCAAAAUGUUCUGCGCUGUGGAUGCUUGAUAUCCACCUUUAUAAAUGGGUCACAUAUUACAUGUUUCAUAAAAUGAUACCCCACGAUUGCUUUGUGUUGAAGUGUAAUGAUACCUAAUGUAUUGCCAUAGAGGUCUUUGAAGCUUGACAUAUGCACUGAUGACGCACACAUCUUCGGGGCGUGAAGGUGAAGGCGGAAUAAAAAGUAUCACGCGGGGGAAGGAGGCCUCCGGGAACACGGUGCGGUGUGCCGCGUUUUAUUUAUCCCUGCUUUGUGGAGGAAUGGAGACGGGGAUCCCUGAAGAGGACACUGUAUUCCCUGUGCAUUCAGCGAGUGAGGCUCAGUGUCAUCACACCCAGGCCACUGUUAGCGGCUGCUCUUUAGCCCGGCAGUGACCCCGUUCGACAUGCUAGCAGGGCCUCCCUCUGCCUGACAGCAGGAAACAUCAUAUCGCCCCCUCGGCGCAUCUCAGAAGCCUGACUGAUACGUUUCCAUCCUUGGGGACAGACACCGCAUUCCGGUACCCCGUUUAAUAUCACUUACUGUAGUGAGGCCGCUGCGGUGACAUUUCGACAUGUUUUACUACCUUGGAUUAGUUGCUGCACUAUAUCAUUGCUGCCGGCAAGACUUACGUUUUGCGCUGGUCUUGUUGCCUCUACUACAAACACUGACAUAGGCUUGGAAUUGAAAACUCAGCGAUGCCUUUUUUUAAUCACUUUCGUAGAAAUCUAUAGUCUCGUUCACUUCAAUUAAAACAUUACGACUUCGGAAGGACAGUUGAGUGAAACUCCGUCUUGGGAGUUUGUGCUUUGUUUUUCACGAACGCCCUUCUGAAUUCCUCGCUGCUUGAUUAGCCCGCUUUAGGGUCAGUGCUGUUUGACAAGCAGUUUCUCCUCCCCUUCGCUGUUCUUGUCAGCCCCCAACAUCAUCCGCUGGUAAUCGGCUAACUUGUUGUUGAGGUCUCUGUUGGAGCUGCCUCCGCCGCGGUUCUCUCUGCUUCCUUGAUCUCUGUUUUCCGUUCGCACUUUGCAGAUCCCCUCCUGCCAGUCUGGGUCAUCAGCCUCUCCAGCCUCCCCAAGUGGCAUUGCAUCAGUGCUCUGCGCUCAGGAAAUGUCCAAGGCUGUCUCAAGAUUUAAAUUAACAGGGCUGAGGACCUGCUAGUCUUUGUUUUCUGACCUGCUUUUGCUUGCUGUUAGGUAACUUCCUCUUAUUAGUGCCGUUUCGAACAUUCAAUAACAGAGAUCUGCUCUUGGUCACUGGUAUGUGUCUUGUAUAUAUACACAAAUGCAGUGCUGUGAAAGUAUUUUCCCAAAUAAAGGCAUAAUUAGGGACAGCACUUUAAAUAGUUUGAAAAACAGGCAGGCAUGAUUCGAGCCAGCCCUGCCCAAAAUAAAUCUAAGACCAAGUUUGGCUCUUAGCAUCAGAGUGAAGUUGUCAGUUUGCAAGUCCUAGAAUUGCAUCAUGCCACAAUCAAAAGAAAUUCCUGAAGGAAACUGUUGAUCGCUAUGUCUAGAAAGUCUCUGAAGACUCCAGGGCACCAGCAAACCGCAAUGUUCAAAUGAAAAAAAAAAUAGUGAGUUUUUGUAGAAGUGGCCAUACUGCCAACAUCCGUACAAGUAUGAAGUGUACACUCUCUGGAAGCUACAAAGAACCGAAGAACAAUAUCUAUGGAUAUACAGCACACCUCUCUCAGCCCUCAUGAGCUGAGUGGAUAUAUGGUAAGGUAGCCGACGUGAUCAGUAUCCACAUUCUGCGGACAGGUGAAUCAGAAGUGGAUCUUUUGGGCUGACAUAGGCCUUGUCACUUCUGCAAACCUAAUAAUACAUCCCAAGGUAUCACACGGUAGUCACCGUGUCUGCGCUGUUACAGUUCUGGCAUUGCUUUUUCGCAUGAGGAAUUGGGUAUGGAAUUGGGCUUAAAAUCUUUAAGCAUCAAAGCGGUGUGUUAAUUGGUGACUUGGAUUCUCUUACGUAAUGUUCAGUCUUGCCUGGGUACAGUCUGCGCUAGUGGGCUUUCUCUGUUAGUUUGGUUGCUUCUCGUGUUUAUCCAUGUGAAGCGUGAACGUCUUCCAAGCAGGUGGACGUGAUGAGCCUACGCCUUCUGCUCUGUGAGAGGAGGACGGCCAGCGGUACGGGACAGUAACGGCUGCUUAUUUCCCGUGAGCAGGGUUCCGGGAGUCAUCCGCCCCCGUGCUGCACUGACACAUCGGGAGAACGUACGCACUCCACCGGAGCUCUUUCCCGUAGGCCUGUCUCUCGUUCGACUGCCGUCCUCAUGUCUGGCUUUAGGAACGGGGGGGAAGAAACGCAUGCAGCGGAGGCACUGUGAUGCAUGGCGCCUCCCGUGGGGCUGUUGCCGCGUGUGCAUGUGGGGGACGGUCAUGUGACCCAUCCCGCCACUCACCGGGUGCCAUCUCCAGGCCUGGAUACCACUGCGCACUGACUGCUGGUUUGUUCUCAAACCUUCUCCGUUUGCUGAGAGUUAAAAUAGCAGCAGGCUUGCAGCAUUGGAUCGGUGGAAAGUGGAGCAGUAGAGUUUAUACUCUCUGGGGAACCUGUGGUCAGGCCUGCCUAGGCUUGGCCUGGGAUUACGCCCAUUAAUAUGAUGGUACAGUUAGCAUCCUCUGUCCUUUAAUUAAUAUGCCUAUGCCGUUAUGUGUCUGAAAGGCUUGUCCUGCACUAUAAAUAAGUGGGAUUUUUCUCCAGUCAGCACAACAAUUGAGUUGUUAGGUCAGGGUCAUAUCUGCAGUAUUAAAGCCCCGCACCUCCCUGGCACUGUGGGUGACCCUGACGUAGAGUCUCCAUUCCAUCCAUGUUCUAAUCAUGUUCUGCUCGCAGAUCCUGAGGCUGCCUGUCCUGCCCCCUGCCUCUCCUCUUCUGCAGCCUCCUGAGAGGCAUCUUACCCCCUGCCUGGGCAUGACUGCCUUCGUGGAGAUGUGUCCUCCUGGGCGGGGUCCGUGGAGUCCAGGGGCACGUGGAGCUGCAGCACAUGGUAUCUGGGAGAGCCCCAAGCCGCGCAGAGGACCGCCCCCCCCACCCCCGCCGUGCCUGCGUGUCUGUGCUCACGUGGGCGUGCACUCAGUGCUGAGACUCUUGGACUGAAAAGAUUUUCCGUUGUAUAUUUUUAGUUUUGCAAUAUGCAGCGGUCACGUUUUUUUAAAUUUAUUUAUUUAUUUUUUUUCUUUACCGUGUUGUGGUUAUAGCUCACUGAAAUUGACCUGUCGUGACGAUGUUGUGGCAAUGCUGAGCGGCUCUGUGGGUUGUCAGAGAGUGUGUUUACAGCCUGUCCUGAUCUAGCCCUGCCGCUCUGCUAUUUUGUAACCAUCACGAGCUCGGCGCACACAGAGCGGGAUCCUUCCUCCUCAAGUAGGCGGGGUCACCAUUGACCCUCCUGAGGUCAGCCAGUGCCCCAUGUGACCUGCGCCAGGCCUCACGAUUGGAUGGCAAACCCUGAACCCGGCAGAGCAGGACCUGUUUGUUCGCCAUUCCCCCAGUACUUUGCUUUUUACCUUUAAUUAACUCAUUAUGUCAGCCAUGGCAGAUUGCAGCCUUCUCUGGGAUCUCCAAAUGAGCCACAUUUUGGGGGGGGGGGGGAGUGCCGGAGGCGAGUGGAGGAGCCUCUCCACCCCACCAUGCUUAUGUAAGUGGUGCAUCCUUUCAAAAAUAGUUGAGUGAUCCCUCUUUCUUCCUCUGCUCUCAGCCUGCCUCUCCCCCCUCUCUCUUGGCAAUGCACCACAGGCUUACUGCUGUGUUAGAGAAUGAGGACAGUGGGGCUCUCCUCUCCAUAUACCAUCAGAAGGGGUGGCGGAGGGGGGGGGCUUCACGCGUAAAGUCACACCCCCUCCCACCCCACAGGGAAUUCUCUUCAGGUUUUCAGCUGAUGAAGCCGGCUUGGCUGUCGUUAACAUUCAGGCAGCGUUAUAUCUGCUUUGCACAUUUCGGGACGCCCUAAUCAGCCCCUCAUGGAAGACAUGCAGUAUUUAUAGAUGUUUUGACUGCGGUGUCGCAGUUCGGAUCCUCGCCGUGGCGCGGGUGCCGGGAUGCGCGCAAGCCGCUGCGAGUCGCGCUCACUGGCUGCUCAUUGGAAUUAAUGAUGUCUUUGAUAUGCGUGUGCUUUGAUGCAUGCGCUCCGUCAGAUCUGGAAAUAUUUCUCUUUUUGCAUUGUUCAGACUUCUAGCGGAAGUUCUGUUUUCAUUGUGGGCUUUUGCUCUUUGAAUGUUUUUCUUUUUAUUGUGCUACCUGGUUGGGACUUUGAUGUCCUCACUCUCUGUUAUCCUGAAGAAUUUUGCCAGCAGAGAAAACCGCCCAUUUCUGAUGAAACUGAGCAGAAGCUCCUGCUACCCUAAAGCAAAAAUUAUCUGUAAAACGCCCUUUUACAGCCAAAUGGUGGUGAAGACGAGACGUUAUCCGGAGCUGAGUUACAGGGUCAGUGUAUCAACCCCCCAGGAUAGGGAUGUGUAACAAGGUGGCUUCCACACCAGCUGCUUGCCAGAGUAUGAUGGUCUUCAGAAAUAUAUGAAGUGAAAGUGAAUCUACAGAGGACACAAGGACUGAUGUUAAUCCACCUCAUUUUGUCCAUCAUCUAACCCAGUGUUUCUCAGCUAACCUGGUUCUCAGCGACUGUCAGAGGGUGCAUGUUUUUGCUCCUUCCCAGACAGUCUACAUUUUUGCUCCCUCCCAGCUUUCAGAAUGUGAACUGUCUUGGGGUCCCCGAGGACCAGGCUGAGUAACGCUAAUCGAACCACUCAUCCUGCUCGGGGAGCCAAUCUAGGGAAUACCCUCGAUGGGAUGCCAGUGCUGUUCUCUUUAACCGUACAAUCUGUGUUCAUAGUUUUAUCCAUGUGGUGCCCAUUCAGAACCAGACAUGUCUGUUUUCUGGUGCCAUAUAGAGGCUGGUUGUAUGCGGCACACGGUCCCUGUUCCAGUGGAGCUGAGCGGGCCGGGUGAGUGGGGGUCUGUAGGCAGUGGUGUGUAGUUUUAGUUCAGUUGAGCAUUUAUUAAUCAGAUGGAUCUCUUACAGAAAC